AGAGUUUGAUCCUGGCUCAGAACGAACGCUGGCGGCGCGCCUAAUACAUGCAAGUCGAGCGAGAAGGUGUAGCAAUACACUUGUAAAGCGGCGAACGGGUGAGGAAUACAUGGGUAAUCUACCAUCGAGUGGGGAAUAACCAACCGAAAGGUUGGCUAAUACCGCGUACGCCUCCGAGUCUUCGGGUUCGGAGGGAAAGCUGCACUGUGAGUGUAGCGCUCUUUGAUGAGCUCAUGUCCUAUCAGCUUGUUGGUAGGGUAACGGCCUACCAAGGCUUUGACGGGUAGCUGGUCUGAGAGGACGAUCAGCCACACUGGCACUGCGACACGGGCCAGACUCCUACGGGAGGCAGCAGUAAGGAAUAUUGCGCAAUGGGCGAAAGCCUGACGCAGCGACGCCGCGUGGGGGAUGAAGGUCUUCGGAUUGUAAACCCCUUUCGGGAGGGAAGAUGGAGCGAGCAAUCGUUCGGACGGUACCUCCAGAAGCAGCCACGGCCAACUUCGUGCCAGCAGCCGCGGUAAUACGAAGGUGGCAAGCGUUGUUCGGAUUCACUGGGCGUACAGGGUGUGUAGGCGGUUUGGUAAGCCUUCUGUUAAAGCUUCGGGCCCAACCCGGAAAGCGCAAAGGGUACUGCCAGGCUAGAGGGUGGGAGAGGAGCGCGGAAUUCCCGGUGUAGCGGUGAAAUGCGUAGAGAUCGGGAGGAAGGCCGGUGGCGAAGGCGGCGCUCUGGAACAUACCUGACGCUGAGACACGAAAGCGUGGGGAGCAAACAGGAUUAGAUACCCCGGUAGU
rnacentral:rRNA from 1 species